GAGUUUGAUCCUGGCUCAGAGUGAACGCUGGCGGCGUGCCUAAUACAUGCAAGUCGAACGAUGAAUCUUCUAGCUUGCUAGAAGUGGAUUAGUGGCGCACGGGUGAGUAAUGCAUAGGUUAUGUGCCCUUUAGUCUGGGAUAGCCACUGGAAACGGUGAUUAAUACUGGAUACUCCCUACGGGGGAAAGUUUAUCGCUAAAGGAUCAGCCUAUGUCCUAUCAGCUUGUUGGUGAGGUAAUGGCUCACCAAGGCUAUGACGGGUAUCCGGCCUGAGAGGGUGAUCGGACACACUGGAACUGAGACACGGUCCAGACUCCUACGGGAGGCAGCAGUAGGGAAUAUUGCUCAAUGGGGGAAACCCUGUAGCAGCAACGCCGCG
rnacentral:rRNA from 1 species